rnacentral:rRNA from 1 species
GCAAGUCGUACGCGAAAGUCUCUUCGGAGGCGAGUAGAGUGGCGCAAGGGUGCGUAACACGUAGCUAACGUACCCCUUCGAUUGGGAUAACUCCAGGAAACCGGAGCUAAUACCGAGAACGCUGUGAGAGUCUGCGGACUUUUUCGGCAAUGACUUCGGGCGCGAAGGGAUCGGGCUGCGGCCUAUUAGUUUGUUGGCGGGGUAACGGCCCACCAAGACUACGAUAGGUAGCUGGUCUGAGAGGAUGAUC